CAUUUUAGCUUUAGCAAGCUGUCAGGAACUAGCUUAAACCAGCAUGGUUGUCUGCUUUAGUUUUAUCCCUGUCUUUCAGGUACAUGUGUCAUAAAACUACCCUUUUGCUCACUGAGAUCACAAAAAGUAUAAUCAUACUGACAUCAGAUUCACAAUUUGUUUUAAAUGACCAUCCUGAAAAUAGUUAAUCCUUUUUUUAGGCACCAAAACUUCAGAGUUUAGGCGAAGGAAAAGUCACAGAUUGAAUAAAUAGAAAAGAGAUGUACUAAAUGUACUUUGACACCAUUUGGACAAACCCUUUUUUCACACUCAUCCCAAUGUGUGACAAAGGCACAGCUUGUUUUGACAGUAGUAGCAGGCUGGAUGUCGUACACAGGUACAGUGUUUACUAGCUCUGAUACAUCCAUGCAGUGUUGUGUUACUGUAACUGUUACACAACAACAACACGAAGAUGAAACACCUGGGACAACAAGGAGCUGCAGGCAGUGAGGAGGCAGGUGUUCCCUCAGCCCGGAGCCUCGGGUGGCCACCUGGCACACAGCCAGCCUCAAGCGGAUGCUCGAUGAAUUGCAGUUUAUAACACUUCCACAUGGACUUCAUUUUUCUGACACUUGACUGGAUUUUGGAUUCUGAAACAAGUUACAAAUCUUAUUAUGUCGAGGUCGCAACAGACCGUGAUUCCACUGAAGGCAGAGUCAAUCCAGCUUUAUCCGGACAGCCUGCAGCUACACCCAUCCUGAGGAGACAGAAAGUUGGAAGACUGCUAAACAGGCUGUGACCUUCUCCUCUCAGGUCUUCAACGGGCCUGUUUAUCGGAGGGUGUCAGAGAAAAUGGAGGAAAUUCCUUCAAAGUAAGACAUUUAGCCGUGUGCAGCUGGUGGAGUUUUAAAACGGCAAACUGAAGAAGGCUGCUGAACACUGACUGUAAGAGAAAAACCCUACAGGGAUGACCUGUGCUUUUAUUUUAAUUGCUCUGCUGGCUCAACCUGAUGCUUUUUAUACAAGACAUUACAUCACUGAAAGCUGAGCUUUGUUUUUGACGGUCCUGUUUGUCCUGUCUCUGUUUAGGGCUCAUUAAGACUAAUGUUUGGAUUUUAAGCCCAUUUAUUUUCACUGUAAUAAAAAGAAUAAACACUCA